GUAACACAACCCAUCUUUGUGUGUGUGAGUCGAGGUGAGCUGGCUGCAGUACUAUCAUGAACAUGCAGACGGGAGAAAAGAAAAAAACAUGGGACUCAAGUCGUUUUAGGGGAGAGAACAUGACAUUCUGGCCGAGGAGUCACCCUGUCAUGUUUCCACAUCUCCAGACAGACCACUGGAGCAAAAUGAAAACAAUGGUUCCAGUUUAUUUUGCAUCAGUUCCAGCUGCCUUGUUGAAGGACAGAGGUUUGUGAAAAU